CCCUUUGCUAGAACCAACCGACCUUGAAGACACUUCCAGUUCGAUAAGCCUGUCUGUCGCGCGUUUCAUACUGCGCCUUAUCCCUUUUCCCGUCAACAGUUUUAAUUAAAUCGUUCUACGACGAUCGAUCGAUCUACAUCGUUAUUAACUAAGAUUUUCCAUUUAUCACUGAAAUUGCUUAGCGAGUCCGCACGCGAAUUCGUCCUGUCUCCGCGUGAUACCAAACCUAUCGAUUCCCCUUGCAAUUAGCUACUUUAUUUUUACUGCCUGCACGACAAAAAUUCUGGUCGAACCUAACAUACACCGAGAGAAACAUAGUAGUUGAUUUUUCAUGAUUCUGCACAAUAAAUCAAGCAGCGGAAAAUGCAGAAUUGCAAAGAGUAAUUUUACAAGGGCUGAAACUGAGAAGCGAAAUAAGAGAUACACGAGGCUUCAGAGGAAGAAAACGGAACUAUCACACGUUUGGCACAGUUCGACCUUGCAAAGAUCAACCACUAAAUCUAUUUAAAAAAAAAGGAACGGGAACGCCGCGCCGGAUGCAGACUCGUACAAUAUCUCUAACUCUGACUCGAUCGCUAACUCGGCCGCUUUUUUGCCCGUUUCAUUUGCAUACCGAACUGCGUUUUAUCCUGGCGUGUCGGGACGAGUUAGCGCGCGCAUUCUCCGAUAAAUUGUUCGGAAACAAAGAAAAUAUACGGACGUGGCACAAAAGGAGGAGCGCGGAGGAGGAUAAAUGUAUAGAGGGUCUUUGACGAGUGAAUUACUUGUUGCUGGCCGUCACCGUUUGAAAGAGGGUAAGACUGCGCUCAGAAUUUGGCGCUUUAAAAGCUACCGGGGGAGACUAAUACGGAUCCGGCCUCGCGCGUCUGAAGUUCUCUUAUUAACUUUCCGCACAAAAGGAGCCUUUAAUGAAACGCGAUUUUAGUCUGUGAAAUGAAAGAAGUUUGAAAAGUAUCUAAGCGUCUAAGACAAUUGGCUGGUUGUGAAGUCGUAUAAUAAACGGUAAUUGGCAGCCGGCCAGAAAGCGGUAAUGAUGACAGAGAGGAACCGACAAUCAGAUGGACACGUCGAAUAUGAAUUUAUUAAUAAACGGUGCUCUAUAACGAA